GGUGCACAUUAAUUAGAGCUUGGAGUCGAGGCCAUUGGCUGGCCGGUGGACUCCCAAGUAGUGUAGGUAGCAUGCGACACAAGUGAUGAGGGGCUCUUGCUCAGUGAAUGCAGUUUGGUAGUAAACCUUGCAACAAGU
rnacentral:snoRNA from 1 species